rnacentral:rRNA from 1 species
GAUGAACGCUGGCGGCGUGCCUAAUACAUGCAAGUCGAGCGAAUGGAUUAAGAGCUUGCUCUUAUGAAGUUAGCGGCGGACGGGUGAGUAACACGUGGGUAACCUGCCCAUAAGACUGGGAUAACUCCGGGAAACCGGGGCUAAUACCGGAUAAUAUUUUGAACUGCAUGGUUCAAAAUUGAAAGGCGGCUUCGGCUGUCACUUAUGGAUGGACCCGCGUCGCAUUAGCUAGUUGGUGAGGUAACGGCUCACCAAGGCAACGAUGCGUAGCCGACCUGGGUGGGUGAUCGGCCACCCUGGGACUGAGACACGGCCCGGACUCCUACGGGAGGAAGCAGUAGGGAAUCUUCCGCGAUGGACGAAAGUCUGACGGAGCAACGCCGCGUGAGUGAUGAAGGCUUUCGGGUCGUAAAACUCUGUUGUUAGGGAAGAACAAGUGCUAGUUGAAUAAGCUGGCACCUUGACGGUACCUAACCAGAAAGCCACGGCUAACUACGUGCCAGCCGCCGCCGUAA